CCUACGGGUGGCUACAGUCGAGAAUCAUUCACAAUGGGGGAAACCCUGAUGGUGCGACGCCGCGUGGGGGAAUGAAGGUCUUCGGAUUGUAAACCCCUGUCAUGUGGGAGCAAAUUAAAAAGAUAGUACCACAAGAGGAAGAGACGGCUAACUCUGUGCCAGCAGCCGCGGUAAUACAGAGGUCUCAAGCGUUGUUCGGAAUCACUGGGCGUAAAGCGUGCGUAGGCUGUUUCGUAAGUCGUGUGUGAAAGGCGCGGGCUCAACCCGCGGACGGCACAUGAUACUGCGAGACUAGAGUAAGGGAGGGGGAACCGGAAUUCUCGGUGUAGCAGUGAAAUGCGUAGAUAUCGAGAGGAACACUCGUGGCGAAGGCGGGUUCCUGGACAGUAACUGACGCUGAGGCACGAAGGCCAGGGGAGCGAAAGGGAUUAGAUACCCUGGUAGUC
rnacentral:rRNA from 1 species